GCUACAUGAGGCUACACCCUGCUCACAACAGGGCCUUUACAUUGAAGUUGGUGAUCUACCUUAAAGACUUCAGUUCCUGGCUCCUGUGAACCUGCUCCAGACUUACCUUCUACCCUGCUCCAUACCAACCUGCUCCAGACUUGCCUUCAAACCUGCUCCACUCUCACGUAUGAUUUUGACCUCUGCCUCUAUUACUAGCCUUCCUGUGUUACAAACCUGCCUCCGUUAUCAGCCAUCCUGUGUUACAAACCUGCCUCAGUUAUCAGCCUUCUACUGUUACCAGCCUGCCUCUGUAACCAGCCUGCUGUUGAUACCAAACUCCCUUUGUUUCAAACCUACCUGGAGAUCAGAGACUUUCUUUAUUUGCAAUUAUCCUGUCUCGUGGCAUAUUGCCUAAAGUCUGUUUUUACUCAAUUUGCAUAAUAUGUCUAAAAGCACAAAUAAAGUCUCAAAUAACAACCCUGGCAUAAGUCUCCUAUCUGACCUGCACAAGAUCAUGACACACACUGAUAGGGCAUAAGGGCA